AUGCGUGAUCAGGUCGGCAUCGAUCUGGACGGCUUCCCCCUCGACCACGAGUUUCCGGACGACUACGGGCUAGAGAAAGAGGACGAGUGCGACAUCGAAGUGGAGCCUUUGUUCGAGGACGAGCUCGCCAACCAAGCCGCCGGUCCUAAGCCGAAGUGCAAGAGCAAGCGCACGAAGACGUACACAGCUGCCGAGGACAAGCUUCUUUGCGAGUGUUGGCGCGACAUCGGACAAGACCCCAAGACGGGCGCCGAGCAAAAGCAUUCAACCUUUUGGACUCGUGUCCAACGAGAGUUUCAUGAGCACAAGAAGUUUCCACCUUACCAAUGUGAGCACGCGUGGGUGAGUCUCCAUUUUCAAGCGGUGGAGGGUGAUCCAACAAGAGUGCAACAAGUUUUGCGCCACCCUUGA
rnacentral:rRNA from 1 species